UACGAAGGGGGCUAGCGUUGUUCGGAGUUACUGGGCGUAAAGGGCGCGUAGGCGGCGCAUCAAGUCAGGCGUGAAAGCCCCGGGCUCAACCCGGGAAGUGCAUACGAAACUGGCAGGCUUGAAUAUGGAAGAGGGUCGCGGAAUUCCCGGUGUAGAGGUGAAAUUCGUAGAUAUCGGGAGGAACACCAGUGGCGAAGGCGGCGACCUGGGCCAAUAUUGACGCUGAGGAGCGAAAGCGUGGGGAGCGAACAGG
rnacentral:rRNA from 1 species